CACAUGCAAGUCGAACGAUGAAGCCCAGCUUGCUGGGUGGAUUAGUGGCGAACGGGUGAGUAACACGUGAGUAACCUGCCCCCGACUCUGGGAUAAGCCCGGGAAACUGGGUCUAAUACCGGAUAUUACCUUUGACCGCAUGGUUGUUGGUGGAAAGAUUUAUCGGUGGGGGAUGGACUCGCGGCCUAUCAGCUUGUUGGUGAGGUAAUGGCUCACCAAGGCGACGACGGGUAGCCGGCCUGAGAGGGUGACCGGCCACACUGGGACUGAGACACGGCCCAGACUCCUACGGGAGGCAGCAGUGGGGAAUAUUGCACAAUGGGCGAAAGCCUGAUGCAGCGACGCCGCGUGAGGGAUGACGGCCUUCGGGUUGUAAACCUCUUUCAGUAGGGAAGAAGCGAAAGUGACGGUACCUGCAGAAGAAGCGCCGGCUAACUACGUGCCAGCAGCCGCGGUAAUACGUAGGGCGCAAGCGUUAUCCGGAUUUAUUGGGCGUAAAGAGCUCGUAGGCGGUUUGUCGCGUCUGCCGUGAAAGUCCGAGGCUCAACCUCGGAUCUGCGGUGGUAC
rnacentral:rRNA from 1 species